AGAUUGACUCCUUCUAGUUCUAAUCCUAUGUAGCUAUGUUAAUCUAGAUAUCAAAUUGAUGUGGUGGCUCUAAUCUUGAUCAGAGGCUUCUUCUCCCUUGAAGAAUAAUGAAUUAGGGUUGAGAGGCUCUCUCCUCCAGGGGCCAGGGGUCUGGUUUUAUAGUCCCUUCAAGUGAAUAUGGGCCAUUGGAUCAAACCGACAUUGAUUGAACGGUUAUCCUUGAUCCUUAGGUCGGUGGAGAUCUCUCCCGAGAGAGAGUCCUGUUUGGACUCCAACAGGAGGCGGGCGCCCAGGGCAACUGGGCGGGCACCCAGUGCCUGGCCCCGUUCGGCCUCCGCUUCGUUCCCGUGGCUUUUGGAUUCUUCUAGAUGUAAGAUAAUUCGCGGCACGUUAAUAUCUCUAUGUAAUCCCGACGUGUGGGCCUUUCUUCCGUAUUUCCUGAUAACCCCCUGCAGAAAUAGACAAACACCAAAACUCGUGGAAUUCUGUCAGAUAAAACCCUAAGUCUAGAUGUUGAUUUCAUUUGGAUCCUUUUCUUUAUUUAUUUGAUAAUUAAAUUUGAUACUUAAGGACCGUCAACAAACUCCCCCAAGCUUACCUCUUGCUCGUCCCUGAGCAAGGAUAGACUCAGUGAUGGAUCAGAAGUUGUUGCAAUAUCUUUAAAAAUUGACAGUAACAUGCUUUUUAAAUAAGAUCUCAUCUCUGAGUUAGAGUAAACUGUCAAGACUUAAAACUUACUUACUUUACCUUUUACCAUGGGACUUGUAACCGUCACUUCUGUCUUGAGUGAUUAAAAGAUAGAACAGUCUAGUCAAGUGCCAUGUCUCUUAUUCUUGAUUAGCUAUAGCUCUGGUGUUUUUGCAGAUUUUCAAACAAAACUCAGAGAUUCCUUGUAUGAUUCUCUCAAAUCUCUCUUUUGUGGUAUUUUUGGAUCCUUACCAAAGCAGUGAUGGUAUAUGCCUUCUCUCAAUAUAUGUGGUAUUUGUGGUAUAAAGCAUAGUGACAUUGCCUUCUCUCUCACCCUACUCUAAUAAGGCUUUAAUAUCUGGAGCUCAUAGGCGGGAGAUAAAAUAUACAUACUUACAAGACAUUUAUUGUAUACUCAAACCAUGGAUCCAAAGAAACAAAUCAAUAAGUCAAAUCAAGAUGUGCAUGUGUGGCGAAUGAAUGGCGUAUGGUGAUAAUAAUGGUGAAAGUCUAAUUCUACUUUUGCUCUUUGAGGGGAUACAUACCUUCCUUGCUUUUUGAAACAUUUUGAGGAGAAUGAGAUGCUCUUCUUUUUUUUCUUUCUCUCAGGUGGGUAUCUUGUACCCCUAAUUCUACUGUCGGACACUUGUCCAUUUUUACCUCUCGUCUCACUUUUUCUUUUCUUCCGAGGUUCCGGGCACUUGUCCCUUUUUAUUUCCUCGUAUCUUUUCUUUUCUUCUUUUUUUUAGAGCACUCAUCUCUUGAGAUAAUAUAGCAAGUGGUAGUAACAAGAUUACUUGAGCAUUUAUUUCACAAGGGAAAACAGAAAUAUUUUUGGCUAUUCUCUCCCGGAUUAGGAGUAAAAUAUUUUUUUGGGUGAUUCUAGAGAUGGAAAUGGAUGGAUAUUUGUGGAUGGUACUUCUGGCGUAGAAGCAACAUAUGUGAGUGAACGUGCAAGUGAAAUUUUGAUUUAACCACAUGACAAGCUCCUGAGGGUCUACACAGCUUGACCACACUCAAUGCUCAUAAGCAGUAAAUAGUAAAUGUGUGGCUCAAAAUCUAGCAAGCAUGUAUAUAUGGCUGUGGUAGGAAUUUAAACUCUCAUCAUACAGCAACUCAUCAUGAAAUAUUUUAAAGAUUUUCAAAGAUAAAAUUCUCCAGAAUUCUAGCAUCUCUAGGAACAGAUAAACAGGAGCUCAACCUUCCCAUAUCAUAUCCGUUAACAACUUAGACUUCAGAUCAAUUUUUCUUCCCACAAGUUUAGGUUUAGAGCAAGCUUUAAAUUAUAACAGUUAUGUCUAAACUUGAGAGAGAAUUUCAAAAUUUAAAGAUUAGGCAGAGCAACUAUUCAUCAUAUCCAUGCUUGAGUUUUAUUUUUAAGAUUCAGAUUAGCAUAGCCACUUUAUUUAUUUAUUAAACACACUAAGCAAAAGGCAAAUAUAUAAGCAUAAAAUCUUUAUUUGUUUUUCCAUAAUUAUGUAUAUCUAUAUUUUAAUAUAGUAUAAGUAUAAAGGUAGAUAGAAAUACUUAUCGGGAUAAAUGAGGGUGCUCUCCCCCAAGCUGAAUUUUGACGUAAUUUCUCUUGAUGUAGCUAGCAGGUGGCAGAGGUGUGUUUGAAAGUCGGCAGCAUCCUUAGAGCGAUUAGAAUGUCCUCCGUCUGCUAGUCUUCUUGAUUCUUGAAUUCUGUGGAGCUCAAAUGGACAACAAAGCUUGUGGAACUGAUUAAGUGUUAGCAUAAAUAUCUAGCCUUUAUCAUGUUGAGACUUCUUAAUAAUUAUUACUCCCUAUUUUUAUAUUUUCAUUUUAUAAUGCAGAAAAUAAAUUUUUAUUUUAUUUUUAUGCCACCACAGUGAAUGUACUUAUGGGUUUUAUGCCACUCGUAUUCUCACAUGGGGCUUACUGUUUUUUAACAUUUUUAUUUUCUUUUUAGGAUAGUAUAAAUAUAACUAAUUAAGUAAACUAUUUUAAAUAAUUGAAAGGGAAAGGAUAACUACCAAGUUUACCUCUUGGCAAGGCGUUCGGUGUUUUUAAGUCCUCCGAACGGGACUCUCCGUUUUCUAGUUGUCGUGGAAUUUGUUGGGUGGCGUAGUCGGUACUUCCGACGGCGCCUCCUCUUCAUAUAUGGUUAUCUUCUCUUUCCACACUUGACUCGGUGCUACGGUCUCCUCUGGAUAAUUAUGUUUAAACUCUACGUCUUCUGACCUUACCACUUCUCCUUCGUAGUCUGCCCAUCCGUCCUUGAUGAUUUCCCUCCUCUGGUUGCGGUUGCGUCGUUUUCUGACCUGCUUAGAUUCUUCAACGAUAUAGUUAGGGUCAGUAAAAUAGGGCGUACCUUCUCUGAGGGGAAGUGCAUAUGGACUUCUCUGGUUCCAAUGUAGAUGAUUGCUUUAACGGUGCUGAGGAACGGUCUUCCAAGGAUGAUGGGUGGAUCGUAUUCAUCUUCUCCCAUGUCAAUAACCUGAAAGUCUGUGUAGACAAAAUGAUCGUCUAUUUUGACUGGGACAUCAGUUACUGUUCCUUUAACUUCUCGAAAUGUCUGAUCUACCAUCUAGAGCUGAAUGUAUGUUGGUUUUAGGGGCAUGGUUCCGAACAAGAGCCGAUAGGUGACUGCGGCCAUUAUGUUGACGCCCGAUCCGGUGUCACAAGUCGUCUUGUAGAAGUUGUAUCCAUUUAUGGAGCAAUAGAUGCUUGGCAUUCUUGGGUCGUCCUUCUUGGUCAGAAACGGUGACUUAAGUUGGUGAUCUUGGCCUCCAUGAACUGCAGUGACCAUCUUAGCUGACUCGGUCCACACUUGCUUGUUCCUGUUCCUCCUGUUGGUCCUCUUCCUUGAUUCACGUCUGGAUUGAUCUGGAAUUUGUGUAGUCUUGUUUUUGAAGGAAAACGUCUCCUUCCUCCCUUUGAUGUAGAAACUGAUCUUGGCAGCACUAGCGUAGAUGACAGCUUCCGAGGUGUUUAAGAAUGGCCUCCCUAAGAUGAUGGGUGCUCUCUCAUCAUUACCGGUCUCUAUCACCACGAAGUCUGCUAGGGCAUACAAGGUACCAACUCGGACACAAAGGUUCUUCAAUAUUCCUUUUGGAAAACUUAAUGCCUGAUCUGCAAACUGCAAACACAAGGUUGUCUCUAAUAAAGGAUAUGUAAAGAAUUUUUUAUAGAGUACCCUGGGUAUAAUGUUGACGCUGGAGCCAAAGUCACAGAGUGCU
rnacentral:lncRNA from 1 species